AGAAAAGUGGACACACACAUAUAUAUAUAGACGCAUUCGAAGCUUAAAGGGAGGUCAAUGGCCAGGGUGGUCGAUAUUUGCCUCAAAGAAACCUUGGGGGUGGAGGGGAUGCAAAUGGGAUUUUAUACUUCUUACAGAAUGCCACGUAUUUUUUCCCGUUCGGGCACUUAGUACCAGGCGGCAAUGUUGGACGACGAGGAGGAAACUGAAAAUUAGGAGGAAUAUGAAUAUUAGGUUUUGGUUCAGGAAUAUGGAUUCCCGGAAUGCCCCUUGCUUGGACCGUCACUUGACCAGGAUGGUAAGUCUCUACUCCACCUGCACCACCCAAAACGCAUUACAGUGUCAGCUUUCAAGGUAAUUUGAUCAUUAAUUUUAGUGGUUAUUUGUUCUUUCUAUUCAGUUCCGAAAAAAAAACUCAAAACCAAACACCCUUUUAAAAAAACCUGAUUACUUAUAACGUAGACACAAUAAAGACUUCGGAAUAUCUAAAGACGAAAUGACUCACUAAGUUUCUGGAGCUCCCUUUGUUCGCCAUGUGGAAACACGAGAAGAAGAAGAAGAACGACAAGCAUGGAAGAGACUACGGAAGAUUUCAUCUUAAUUU
rnacentral:lncRNA from 1 species